rnacentral:rRNA from 1 species
AUGCCAUCACAUAUUAGUGAUACUCACAUUGCUCUUAUUCCUAAGAAAUUGGUCUCAAAAAUACCUUCUGACUAUCGACCUAUCAGCCUUUGCAAUGUCAUUUAUAAGAUCAUUUCCAAAACCUUGGCCAACAGAUUGAAGCCUCACCUUCCUGACUAUAUUGAUCCUUCCCAACAAGCCUUCAUUAAAGGUAGACACAUAUCCAAUAAUAUCAUCUUAGCCCAAGAGAUCACUCACACUUUUGCCCUUAAAUCUUGGAAACAACAAGCGUUCUUGCUUAAAAUUGAUUUGGCCAAGGCUUUUGAUCGCCUUGAAUGGAACUUCAUAGUCUCUGCUCUUUCUCGCAAAGGGUUGCAUGGUCACUUUAUAAACUUGGUUUAUGCUUGCAUCUCUUCCCCAAGUUUCUCUGUUAUUAUCAAUGGUCAGCCUUUCGCCAACUUUCGUAGUAACAGAGGCUUAAGACAAGGAUGUCCUUUAUCGCCUUAUCUUUUUGUCCUUGCUAUUAAUGAACUUUCUUUAAGCUUACAUGAUGCUAUGGUCCAAAAUUGCUUGUCUGGGAUCUCUCUUGGUCCAGACUGUCCUCCUAUUCACUCCAUGCUUUUUGCUGAUGAUUUGUUGGUCUGUGGCAAUGCUACGGUGAAUGCUACGGUGCAGGAGGCUAAC